rnacentral:misc_RNA from 1 species
GAUGAAGAACGUAGCGAAAUGCGAUAAGUAGUGUGAAUUGCAGACUUUAGUGAAUCAUCGAAUCUUUGAACGCACAUUGCGCCCGCCAGCACUCUGGCGGGCAUGCCUGUUCGAGCGUCAUUUCAACCAUCAAGCCCCCAGGGGCUUGUGCUGGGGCCCUGCGGCUGCCCGCAGGCCCUGAAAACCAGUGGCGGGCUCGCUAGUCACACCGAGCGCAGUAGCACAUCUCGCUCAGGGCGUGCGGCGGGCUCCUGCCGUGAAACCCCCCACUGUAACCCCAAAGGUUGACCUCGGAUCAGGUAGGAAUACCCGCUGAACUUAAGCAUAUCAAUAAGCGGAGGA